GGCCAACAGCGUAGCUCGCAUACCAAGAGCGAAACAAAUCAAGGGGUACUCAAAUUUCAUCGAAGGGUACAUACACAACGUAGAAGGUGAAAAUAUCAGCAGAUGCCUCUACAAUCAUUGGUUCAGAAUGUGAGUGCAAAGCAGGGAAUGGACACUGCAGCCAUUCUUUAGGUCUUCUCUACCUGGUAUCCCAUUACCAGAAACUUGGACUAACAGCUGUUCCACCAGUCCAGAGCAAGACAUCACUGCCACAAACAUGGCAUAUUCGCAGUAGAGUGGAAGGACUUGCUCCGAAAUCUGUGGAUAGUUUAGAAAUUUCUAAAAUCAAACCACAACAGGGUCCUCCCAAAAAGAAAAAGAGGGUCACUGAAGGCAUUCUACCCAACAUUUACUGCCCUGUUGAGAAACCCAUCUCAUCAGAUUUCUCUCAGCAGUUGAUCUUGAACUUGAAGUCUGUUGGAAGUGAUGCGCAGAUUCUCAAAAUUCUGCCCUCCACUUCAACACGUACAGUAGAAUCAACAUUUGGUCCAGUACCCUUUGGAUGCCCAUUGUCAUACCAACAGAAAUUAAACUCAACAAUCACAGACAUACUUAACCAUCCAGAUGUAAUUUAUCCCAAUU